rnacentral:rRNA from 1 species
UACAGAGGUCUCAAGCGUUGUUCGGAUUCAUUGGGCGUAAAGGGUGCGUAGGUGGCGGGGUAAGUCUGGUGUGAAAUCUCGGAGCUCAACUCCGAAACUGCACUGGAUACUGCCUUGCUCGAGUACUGGAGAGGAGAUUGGAAUUUACGGUGUAGCAGUGAAAUGCGUAGAUAUCGUAAGGAAGACCAGUGGCGAAGGCGAAUCUCUGGACAGUUACUGACACUGAGGCACGAAGGCCAGGGGAGCAAACGGG